AUGCCGGAGGACGUCGAGAUGAACGACUCCGCCCAGCCCGCGGCCGUCGCCGCUCCUGCGGCCGCCGACGCGCCCGCGCCCGCGCCGGUUCUCUCCACCCUGCAGCAUCUGAAGGAGAUCGCGUCGGUGGUCGAGGCGGGGUCGCUGACCAAGGAGGUCCGCCGGAUCUCCCGCGCCGUCCGCCUCACCGUCGCCCUCCGCCGCCGCCUCGCCGCCCCCGACGUCGCGGCCUUCCUCGCUUUCGCGCUGCCCCCUUCCUCCGAGGCCUUCACCCGCCUCUCCCCGCUCCUCCCCAAGGAAGAUGGAAGUGAGAUGGAUGUUGAUGCUGCAGCUCCAGCUGCUCAAGUUUCAAUCAAGCAUGGACUCCCAGAGAUUGAAAUAUACUGCUACCUGCUUGUGUUGAUUUUCCUUAUUGAUCACAAGAAAUAUGAUGAGGCUAAAGCAUGUGCAAACUCUAGCAUUGCUCGUUUGAAGAAUCUCAACAGGAGGACUGUUGAUGUUUUGGCUUCUAGGCUGUAUUCGUAUUACUCGUAUGUCCAUGAACUCACCAACAGCCUUGCUGAAAUUCGUGGAACUCUCCUUGGGUUGCACAGGAUGGCAACUCUUCACCAUGAUGAGCUUGGGCAGGAAACUCUUCUUAACCUGCUUCUUCGCAAUUACCUGCACUACAACCUAUAUGACCAGGCAGAAAAACUUAGGUCAAAGGCACCACGUUUUGAAGCACAUUCCAAUCAGCAGUUCUGCCGCUAUCUGUUCUACUUGGGAAAAAUCAGAACAAUUCAGCUCGAAUACACUGAUGCUAAAGAGAGCCUCUUGCAAGCUGCACGGAAAGCACCCACUGCAGCUCGUGGAUUCCGCAUCCAAUGCAACAAAUGGGCUAUACUAGUAAGGCUACUUUUAGGGGAGAUACCAGAGAGAACUGUUUUCAUGCAGAAAGGAAUGAAGGCGGCUUUGACACCAUAUUUUGAGCUUACAAAUGCUGUUCGAGUUGGGGACUUAGAAGUGUUUAGAGCUGUUGCAGAGAAAUUUGGGAGCACUUUCAGUGCCGACAGGACAUCCAAUUUGAUCGUGAGGCUGCGCCACAACGUCAUCCGGACUGGACUACGCAACAUUAGCAUUUCCUACUCACGUAUCUCCCUUGCUGACAUUGCCAAGAAACUGAGGCUAGAUACUAAGACCGCUGUUGCUGAUGCUGAGAGCAUUGUAGCCAAGGCCAUCAGAGAUGGGGCAAUUGAUGCCACCAUUGAUCAUGCCAAUGGCUGGGUGGUGUCGAAAGAGACUGGCGACGUUUACUCAACAAACGAGCCACAGGCUGCGUUUAACUCCAGGAUUGCGUUCUGCCUGAACAUGCACAACGAGGCAGUCAAGGCUCUGAGGUUCCCCCCUAAUUCUCACAAGGAAAAAGAGAGUGCCGAGAAGAGGCGAGAGAGGCUCCAGCAGGAGGAAGAACUCGCGAAACACAUGGCCGAGGAGGAGGACGAUGACUUCUAG
rnacentral:rRNA from 1 species